rfam:Brachypodium distachyon strain Bd21 chromosome 5, whole genome shotgun sequence.
UACAUACUUCUUCCGUCCAACAAAAGAUGUCUCAAGUUUGUCAAAAUUUGAAUGUAUCUAAACAUGACUUAGUGUAUAGAUGCAUUCAAAUUUAGGUAAAAUUGAGACAUCUUUUAUUGGACGGAGGGAUUACAUA